rnacentral:rRNA from 1 species
UACGAAGGGGGCUAGCGUUGCUCGGAAUCACUGGGCGUAAAGCGCACGUAGGCGGCUUUUUAAGUCAGGGGUGAAAUCCUGGAGCUCAACUCCAGAACUGCCUUUGAUACUGGGAAGCUUGAGUCCGGGAGAGGUGAGUGGAACUCCGAGUGUAGAGGUGAAAUUCGUAGAUAUUCGGAAGAACACCAGUGGCGAAGGCGGCUCACUGGCCCGGUACUGACGCUGAGGUGCGAAAGCGUGGGGAGCAACCAGG